AGGACGAACGCUGGCGGCGUGCUUAACACAUGCAAGUCGAGCGGUAAGGCCCUUCGGGGUACACGAGCGGCGAACGGGUGAGUAACACGUGGGUGAUCUGCCCUGCACUCUGGGAUAAGCCUGGGAAACUGGGUCUAAUACUGGAUAUGACCUGUCCUCGCAUGGGGGGUGGGUGGAAAGAUUUAUCGGUGCAGGAUGGGCCCGCGGCCUAUCAGCUUGUUGGUGGGUAAUGGCCCACCGAAGGCGACGACGGGUAGCCGACCUGAGAGGGUGACCGGCCACACGUGGGACUGAGACACGGCCCAGACUCCUACGGGAGCAGCAGGUGGGAAUAUGCACAAGUGGGACGAAAGCCUGAUGCAGCGACGCCGCGUGAGGAUAGGAAGGUCCGUUACGGGUAGUAACCGUCUUUAC
rnacentral:rRNA from 1 species